rnacentral:rRNA from 1 species
UACAGAGGGUGCGCGCGUUAAUCGGAAUUACUGGGCGUAAAGCGCACGUAGGUGGCGACGUAAGUCGGGUGUGAAAGCCCCGGGCUCAACCUGGGAAUUGCAUUCGAGACUGCAUUGCUGGAGUACGGAAGAGGAGGGCGGAAUUCCCGGUGUAGCGGUGAAAUGCGUAGAUAUCGGGAGGAGCAUCAGUGGCGAAGGCGGCCCUCUGGUCCAGUACUGACACUCAAGUGCGAAAGCGUGGGGAGCAAACACG